rnacentral:misc_RNA from 1 species
ACGAAGUACCAGUGACGAAGGGAGCACCUGAGUAAUGCUGCAGCAGUGCGCGGCUGUGCUUUCCCUUGUUGAGAAAAGCGUAACGGAUAACUGAGACGUGCGCACACUCUCCAGAAGCAGAGGCGCCCCCUCCCUUCUGGAAGACGAAGCAUACAGUACACAGAUGCUCUCAACGUCCUUCAUCUGGACGCUUCGCCAUCCUGUGGCGCGAGAUAUCGUCUCGUGCACCUGCGUGUUCGAAUCGCGCACUUCCAGGUCCGCGCUAGCGUCGACAACCGGACACCAACACGGGCGGGGACAGCGUGUCUUUGGCAGCGCAGAGAUCGAACAGCAAUAAAAAGAGCUCGUUGUCAAGUGUUGUGGUUGCCUUGCUGUUUCCUGCGCGAAGGGCACGACAAGAAGCCGGCAGCGCUCGCGCUGCCGUCGUGCGACGGCACAGCCAAUUGGGGGACACAGACAUAUACACACAUACACACAAGGACACACAUAUACUGGGCAGAGUGGUGUGCAAAGACGUGACGCAUCUUCACCAAGGACGCAACGCCCUCAACGUGGACGCUGUCUGGGAGACAUGCACCCGCACACAGCCGCUAAAGUCGAAACCACCGCAAGUGACGGGGCUACGAUGACGCAGACGACGUCGCAUCCCGUUCUUCUGGGCUGUGGGCUGAAUUGGGCCUCGUUCGUCGCGUCGCACCCGUUCGAGGUGAAGGAGCUGACUUCCGUGCUCGUCGGAAAAGGGAGUGACGACGAUGGAGCUCCUGAGGAGCGCGACGCACUUGUGCAGGCGCAACUGCCAGUGGCGUCCGUCGUGACUUCUGGCGCAACCCUUGAGAGGGUCUUCACGGAGUCGAUGGUGUGCGCGUCUUCAAUGGCGGAGGUGGCGCGCAAGGUGCAGCACAUUGCCACUCUGUGGUGCCUGCAUCCGUCCUCGGAGUACGUGGCGACGCUGUGCUGGCCGAUGCGGGGCAGCGAAAGCGCAAGCACCACGACUGCGGUGCUGAAGGUGCGAACUGAGGGCUGGCGCGCGCCACUGGACUUGCGUGCUGUAUCGCUGCAUGUAGUUGACCGCGGCUCUUUUGUCUUUCAUCCAGAAUUCACACGCUGCAUCCUUGCACAGGGGGCGGAGAAGUUCAUGUUUUAUGUACCACCGAAUCCGCUGGAGCCCACCACGGCUCUCCCGUUCAUGCGGGGGCUGUGGUACAACGGACUUUUUUCGCUGCCGGAGUCACUGAGAAUAGGGCCGCAGCACGUGGCCAUGUUCUUUGUGCUCCCCAACGGCGACACACGCUACACGCUCGACCUUGCGCCGGAAUCGCCCGCCGCGCCGGCUGCUUCGUCGACCCACCAGCAGGACUCGGGGGCUUUAGGGAGCGCAACGCGUCGCGAUGCCACAGCGUCCUUGUAUCCGUGGCGCCGUCAGAGCAAGGUCCGGCGCGUCAUCCGCUCCGGCGCGUACGUGGUGGUUGUCCGCGAUGACACUGCGGGUGUCGUGGCAAGCCUGCAGAGGGCAUGCUCGUAUCACGGACAAAACAAGAGGAGCACGUGGCUCAACGACAUCUUCAUCAACCUCAUGGGCCAGUGCAGCCGCAGGGACAUAUCGUCCAGCGCAGACACCGCGGCCUCACAGGCCGCGGAGGCAGAUAGGGCAAAAUACGUACGGCUUCUGUGCAUUGAGCUGGUGGAGAAGGCGACAGGUGAGGUGAUGGCGGGCUGCUGUGGCAUGACGGUGGGGUGUGCGUACCACGACUACACCAUGUAUACGCUGCGGCAGUCCAAGGACGGACUCGGCACCUUCCUGACGAAGCUGAUAGGCGAGGCGCUGCAGCGGUGCGGGUACACCCUUUGGUACUGGGGGUUCUGCGUGGAGUACAUGCGACAUUUCGAGCGGCACUUCGGCGCCGUCGACAUGCCACGAGACGUCUUUUACCGUCGCUGGAGUGCGGCGCGCGACGCUGUGCCAGAGUGCGACAUUGAUGCUUACCUGCGGUCUCACAAGGGGAUGGUGCCUUACUACGAGGGGACCAGCGCACUUGUCAAGAGUAAGCCCUAGCUAUGUACUUGUGCUUACCCAAUUUGCGAGUAGACCUUCCGCGCGGAGCCCUCGCCUUAUCCUUUGUUCUUCUUGGCUGAUGUGUUUGCUUUCUCGUUCUCCGUUGUGGUGCAGAUUCUGUCUCUCACCGAGUUUUCCCUCGUGCCGUUGUGCGCGCACCUGCAUUUGUGCGCCCAAACCUUUCGUUUCCCCGCCACCUCUCUCUUUGGAAGCGCGACGGUUUGCCUCACAGGGUCGAUCAUGCUCUCUUCCCGAUCCUCCGUCACUCUACUGCGCACACGUUUUACAGAGGACACGUACCGUGUACCGCCAGGCUCCCCCCUAGCCAAUCAUGCAGCCGACCCACCCACCUCCCGCUGCCGAGUUCUUUGCUGUGGCACAGCACCGUCUCCGCUGCUCAUACUAAAGCGUAGCGUUGGAGCGCACUUUCUGCUCUCUUCUCCGUCUCGACUGCGGCUGCUGGAACAUCGCGAAUACUCUGACCACGGAGUGAGUACACACGCCUGAACCCUGACGAAUGCUAUUCCCCCCUCCCCCAUCGGUUUCACAGAUUCCGACACAAGCACACACGCUUCUUGCCUCAUUCCUUCUGAUGCCGCUGUCUGUGCCCUCGCUUUCUCUCGCUCGCUCUACAACUCCUCCCUUUACCCUCUCUCUGCACUCCCUUCCCUCUUUCGUUCCGUGCUUCACCUACGCAUGUACCCGCGCGUGACACAUUCGUGUUGAUUCUGUUGUUGCCAUACUCUCCCUCCUUCGGCCUUCAUCACACACGUGCCCACAUGCGCCUCGCAUCUGGGAUACUCGCGGCAACCUACGUGUGCCCUACCAG